rnacentral:telomerase_RNA from 1 species
CCCCCUGUGGAGGCCUGCUGCCGCAGCCCCGUCAGGGCUGACCAAUUCGGCUCUUCAACCCUAAAUAAUCGGUGCUCGCCUGUACAGGCGUUCAAUCCCUACCCCAAGGGCUUCUGCCCGGCCUGUUCCCCUUGCGGCCUCCCCAGGCCUCUAAAGCAACACCUGUCGCCGCGUAGCAGAGGCCUCCCCAUCAGUGUCCCUCCGCCUCCGUGGGUGGGCAGGCGUGUACCCCCGCCCAUCAAGCGACGGAUGCACGUGUAGCCUCGCCCCAGCUCGCUCCUGCCCCAGUUCCGGGGGGCGGCACGGGGUGCUGCAACUUUUUU